rnacentral:lncRNA from 1 species
AUUAGUGUGGAUAAUGGCUUUAAUAAAAGUUCACAACUUAUAAAAUAUAUCAUUUAAUGUGAAACCUUACAAACAUAGACUAAAGAUCACAACUUAAUACAAGUAUCUCUUUCAUUAACAAUUAUACAUUUACAAUCAUUAAUAAAGCAUUGUCUCUCUGCUUAGCACUGAGAUUUGUCAUAACAAAAAAAAUGGUUGAACAUCAACAGUAAAGCACUGCUUGUACAUGUAGUAAAAAAAUUAAAAGAGAUUGGAAAUCAGAAUAAAACACAAUGCUGAAACAAUUGUAUAUGUCCAAAAAAAAUAAUUGUUCUUAGUGGUUACCACCAUUGAAAGCACUCUUAGCUACAUCAUAGGGACCAAUUUUUUGUUCAUGUAGAAUUGCAGAGUACCUAGAAAGAACCACUGAACUUCAGCAGGAAAAUAUAUAAAAUAAGCCAAUUUUUCAUGAACCAUGAAAUAAAAACUUAAUGAAAGAGUAGACCUUUUGAGGUAAAAAGAUAACUACAUUGAGCAGUACUAUUUUGCAAGCUGUUGACAUUUUGACCCUUCCAACGGGACAAGUACACAACAUUUGAAGGCAAAUAAUCUACUGUAAAUUUAGAAAUUAUUGCAUUGUUUUUCUUUUUGCGAAAAAUGUAAUAAUUUAAACUCGCAUUUUGAAAUAUUUGUAUGAAUUAAACAGGAUUUUUCUCAAAAUCAUAAAAAAUGAAUAUCACAUUUAAAUCUUGAAUGACAAAAUCGUAAUAAUAAAUGCAUGCAAUAAUUUCUGAAUUUACAGUAUUCAACAAAUAUUUUAGUCUAUUUUUUUUAGCAGGCUUUGCGAUAAAGGAGCUCUUACAGCCAAUUGCAUUGAGUGUGUAGAUACUGAUAAAAUCUUUGGUUAGCUUCACAGUGGAGUCUUUAUAAGGUAAGGUAUACUACUACCCUCCUUUGGAAGUAGUCUAGUCCUAGAGACAUAGAUUGGUUAACAGUCAAACUAGUCUACUUUUAAGGGAGGGUAGUUUACAUAACCUGAUUAUGACUUCACAGUUCAACUAUCAAGCAAGCUUAUCAAAGAUAUUACCUUUACCUACAUACUCAAUAAAAUUACCUGUAAUACGUGUUGACUUUUGAUAUUGUAAGCAGGUUUAACAGCAAUAUAGUGAAUUUAAAUACAUCAAUGUAUAAACUGUCUCCUCUGUAAAAUGGGACCGUAUAUUUGUGAUUUAUUAAUUCUUUAAUUAUUAUAAUGAAUCCUCUCUUUGCUACAAUGCAGUGUGUUCUCAGUACAUUUUAACAGAUUUGUGAAGGAAAUUAUAAACCAAAGUUACAUUUAAUAAAUGAAGCUCUUCAUAUAAUUUAUUAAAAACAUAAAAUUGCAAAACAAAAUAACAUUUUAGACAAACCACAAUUUAGACCAUACAACCCACCAAUAAUAUUAUCUGCAUAUUGUAAUAAAUGGUUAUUAUACAGUGAAGAAAAGCAAAUGAACUGAAACAUUGGAGUAUUUACAACUACUGGUUCAUUAUAAAAUCCUAUCUGUAAUUCUAUAAAGCACCUAAAAUUCUGCAUUCUUAGGCUUUUAUACCACAAAAACAUAAAUACUAAAUGGCAACUUGUAGAGCUGGAAUGAUUCCAAUCAUGCAUUUGAUUUACACAUGUUCUAAUAUAACUAAGCUGGUCCUGUAUAGUCAUGCAUAUGAUAAUUGCAACUGGGUGUUAAGCAAAACACAAUCCCUUGUCAACUAUAACUUAGCAUAUGAAUCCCAACUGCAUCAGGACUUUGACUUAGGCUUAGUGUUUAUUUCUCAUGUUUUUAUUACUAAAGAAUAUUUUGAUAACACAUUAAAUUAAAGCUGACCGUGCAAGGGCUGUACAGCUAGUCAAGGUUGUUAAAAGGUCCCGUUAUCAUACCACAUUUCAGUUCUAAAAAGAUAUCUGACAAAUGUAUGCACUAAAAAGUUUAAUUACCAUUAACAAUCUCAGAUCCAUUUUUAUUGGCACAUUUGUGAUAAUUUUCAACUUUCUGAAUUGUAAGUAAAACAACAAUAACGAUACCAAGAGGGAAGAGAUACCACCAAUCAUAUGAUUUAGACAUCCUUAGGUCAACUGGAGCAGAACAAAGCUUAGAUUUAGUUGAGUCCUGGAAUGUAUGAAAAGUGUCUAAUUACUAAAUAAAAAUUCCCUUCAAUCUUGUCAAACAUUAGAAUUAUAUAAUUUUCCUAAUUCCCUAAUAUUAGUUCUGAUUCCAUCUUAUUAACCCUUACCAUGCGGAUCCCGUCUUUUGACGGGUUUGACGUCGUCGUUCUCAGUGCGGAACCCGUCUUUUGACGGGUUACACUGGCAAUUUUCUGACCUUUCAAAAAACCUUCAAAUCCUCGCAUAAUCACAAAACUCCGAGUUUAAAUUUGAAUGAGCCAUCAGAUCUAUAUCCAUUAUUCAAUUUGAACCAUUUUAAGUCUUUAUAAUAAACAAAUAUACACUUUAAUUUUACUUUCAGGAAAAUAAAUUGUUUUUGACAUGACGUAAAAAAUCUAAAAAUACAUCUUGUAAUAAAAUUUCUAUGAAAAAUUGCAAAAUAAAAUGUACAGGCCUAAAUUACAGAUAAAAAAAGACAUUGAGUACCUUUAAUAUAUAUAUAUAUAUGUAUAUAUGCAGUUUAGAAAAAAUUGCACACGACAACAACACAUAAUUACAUGACGAUAUGCAUCUGAGUAACAAAUAACAAGCUAAAGAUUGACUUUUAGGCAUUUUACACAUUUAGUUGGUGUAUUUAUAACACUUUAUAUAGAUAUAAGAACAUGUGGUAUGAGUGUCAAGAGACAACUCUCCAUUCAAAUCACAAUUUGUUAAAAAAAAAAAUAUAUGUACAUUAAUGUAUACUGUAAAUUUGGAAAUUAUUGUGAGGUUUUUAUAAACGUUAAAUAAUGUGACUCCUUGAUUAUUGCAAUAAUGAUAACUUGCAUUAAGAUAUUGGAUGAAUUUAAUAUUAUGUAGCUUUCUUAAAUUGCAAUUAUUUAUAAAUGUUUGUUAAUUCUUCCAAAAUCUGUUUAAUAAAUGCAGGCAAUAAUUUCCAAAUUCACAGUAUUAAGAACUCAAUGCAUUGUUAUCAUUCAAGAAAAAGAGACGUGACUAUUUCUUAAUUCAUAAUCAUGUAAUACAAUUUCUUUACCUCAUUGAAUAUAUUUGAGUUUUUAAAUGCAAUCAAACCUUAAAAUAAAGUCUUUCACAUACAAAAUCUCAGUUAAUGCUUAUACUUGUAGAAAACUAGUUUACAUGAAUUUCUUUUAGAAUAAAAUACAUCUGAAGUUUCAACUGGUGUAGAAUUUUAUUCUGUAUAUAAGUCUGAUAAAUGACUCCAAGCCUGAAAUGAACAACCCACAUUUAUAAUAUUCCUACAACCAUGAACUCAAGAAUCCCCUAACUCAAUAUUAAACAAAACUCAGAACUUAUAUCUAUGAGUUGUCCAUUUUACAGAAUCUAAUUAUCAAAUCAAUCUAUCUCCUAGUAAAAUAAAAGGAACACCCAGAAUUAAAUCAAUACAUUUGCAUUAUAGCAAAAUAUCAAGUAACCCAAGUCACAUUUAAACAGAUAGACAUGAGACAAAUAUCACACUAUACACUAUAUAAUUUGUACACACAUGUUUAACAUGUACACUACAUUGACUAUAAUAUAAAUAUAUGUAUUUAUCAUAUUUUAUUUUUAAUUUUGAGAAUACAGACUGAGGUUAUUUGAAGACAUUUAAAAUGUAUUUAUUUCAACAUAAACCUGAUAAAUGUAAAAACAAUAGCAUGUGAGUUAUAUCUGAUGAUUCAAUAAUGUGACAAACCAGUCUUAAAGCUUUUUUAGGAUAGGAGAGAAUAGAGAAUAGAAAAAUAAAAAGAUAAAUAAAAAUUCAAACAAAAAAAUAUAAAAAUAUACUCUUUUCCAAUGAAAGGAGCAUUUGCUGAAACAAAAAAGCCAAGUACUGUUCUAUUGAUAAUCAUGGGAUAACAAUUUUAGUGAAUUUUGUGAAAAAUAAAAAAAAAGUGAGUACCUCCCUUUAUUUGAUUUGUAUUAACCACAUUCACAGUCCAUUUGGGACUUUUCUAUUUACGUUACAUGUUUUGGCAGGUUUAUUUUCAGCAAAAGUAUAAUAAAUAAAAGAAAGAACACAUUUAUGGUUCAAAAUUUAGAUUUUUAAACUACAAAUACACAUUUCUGGUUUUAAUAGUAACAUGAAGACAAUUUUACUAUCCAAGGGAUGAAUUUGCCUACCAAUACAAAUUGAUAAACUAUUGAUAUAAAUCACAACACACUUGACAAAAUGCCCAAUCUUUCACAGAUCAAAAGCAUUGUAAAUAAGGUCAUCAUAAAAUUUAUAUCUAAGCUAUGUAUAACACAAAAAUUCUUAAAGAUUAUACUGUUAUAAUAUCAAGACCUAAUUUAUGCACAAUUUUCCAUUCGACUGGAAGCUAUGAAAAGAUAUCUGAGUACACAUGAUUACAACAUAAAUGCAAUGUGUCUAUAAUUUCAAUCAAAGAUUCAUUGUCUUAAGUCUUAUCACAUAAUUAUAAAACAUUUGUAUG